AUGGCGGGAUGGUGGGAGAAGGCUGCGAAGAAGCUUAGAGAGGAGGAUGCAGCCGCACUAAAGAAGAAGAAGGAAGAGGACCUUGAGGAGAAGAGGAAGGAAAAAGAGAGAGCAACAAAUGCGAUGCGCGCUAGGGAGCAAGUGUUGGUGAGGAAAUGUGAGGAGGCACAGAAGAAGCGUCAAAAGGAUUUUGAAGAAAGAACCAUGAAGCUUUGGGCAAUUGCAGCUGGAAAAAAGAGAGAGGGAGAAUCAGAUAUUCAUGGAGAGGGUGGUUAA
rnacentral:rRNA from 1 species